GGGAAAAGAAAUCAGUGAUGAACCCCACACAAAUCGUAUAUCCCCCUUCGUUCACUGUCGCCGUUGAAGCUUGGCCGUCGAACAAGCCACCGCCGUCGGAGCUUGGUCCCUAUCGCCGUCGCACACUCUCCCCAUAAAUUAGCACUUUCUAUUCCAUUCCUAAACACAUGGAUACUGAUGUCAUUGGAGAUCUUGUUGACAAGCUCAAGGUUAUCCAGAAUGACGAUGUAGAAGAUUUUGAUGAUCACCAUUGAAGAUGAAAGUGAAUAUAAUAGAGACAUGUCGGAGGAAAAUACCUUAGCUAAUUCCUUGAUCUCAAGGAACAGGACUCAUGACACAAUGAAUUCACUUUUGGAUAGCUUUGAGGGUGAUGAUGACAAAAAAAGUUGGGCCUCCUUCCAUGAAUGCAUUGCCAAGGUCCCUGAACAAGUGUUGAGGUGAUAAAGAUUCAGCAAAAUUAGAAUGCUUAACUAUGGUGAAUUUCCUUGUGGGCCCUUAUGGAGGCAGAUUAUUUACUAAACCAAAUGGGAGAAAAUGUUUGACAAAUAUCUUGCCUUAGGAGAAAAAAUUAAAAUAAGCAGGAAAAUAGUAGAAAUAUAUUUAUUGUCAUUUGCAUCUUAUUGGCUUACCUAACAUUUGAGACAUUCCAGCCAUUUGGAACAUGCUAUGACUAUGUUUGACAAAAGUAGAUAAGUUAGCUCAAGGCUGAAAUGUUAGCUGUUAGCUUAAAACUGUUAAACUAUCUUAUUGAAUUAUAAGUGAGAAGAUGAAAGCUGGAAUUUAGAUUAUGCAUCUUAAUUUCCCUCAAAAUCAAGUGCAUUGUUUUAUAAUCAUAUUUUGUACUAGUGUGAUAGAAGAUUUAAUUUGUAUAAUAGCCAGAUUGAUGGUUGUAUAGAUUUUAUCAAUUUAUCAAUAUAUUGUGUUUAAUUACAGUUUUGGUGAAACCGUUAUUAUAGGGGUACCAAUGCUAAGCCAAUAUGGCCUGUUUCAAGUGGUCGGCCAUCAAAUGCUGAUAUCCCUAGAUAUAGUUAUUGCACCGGAGUCCAGACCUAUGUGUUGUGAAUUUUAGAUUUUGCCACAGCUGCUGUAUUACUUCGGAGUUGACAAUGAAGUGGGCUCUCUGGAUUGGGCUUCAAUUGUGGUGUAUGCAUGUGAAGCUUCUUGUGAGGCAAGUUUGCCUUACAAACAUGAAUUUGCUUGGAUACAAAUUUAUUCACCUUCCACAACCUUAUAGGGAGAUGUCUUUUUUUUUUUUAAAAAAAAAAAGAUUUGGGUUCAGAAAGUAUAAGCUGUUUUUCGUUUGGCUUGGUGGAAGUAUGAGGAAAGAAUUUCUUUAUCUACUUCAACCAUCAAUUUUGAGGAUUGAUUGUUGAUUAUGCAAUUUAUAAGCUUGUUGAGUCUUUGCUACAAUCAAUUAGAAUGUAUGAUUUGCAUUGAAAAAGAAUGAUAAUGGGCUUAGGCCCCUUUUAAUAAAAAAAAAGAAUGAU